UACAGAGGGUGCAAGCGUUAAUCGGAAUUACUGGGCGUAAAGCGUGCGUAGACGGUUACAUAAGUCGGGUGUGAAAGCCCCGGGCUCAACCUGGGAAUUGCAUUCGAGACUGCGUAGCUAGGGUGCGGAAGAGGGAAGCGGAAUUUCCGGUGUAGCGGUGAAAUGCGUAGAUAUCGGAAGGAACACCAGUGGCGAAAGCGGCUUCCUGGUCCAGCACCGACGUUCAGGCACGAAAGCGUGGGAAGCAAACAGG
rnacentral:rRNA from 1 species